UACAAUGGUGUUUGUUGAAUCAUUCAUUGACAGCCAUUUGGGAAAGGAUCAUCUCUACAUACUGUACCACAGAGCAGGGGUUCCCUAAUUCGGUCCCGAAUCGCGGCAAAGGGCAUAGGCUUGGACACUGGGUGGUUCGGAAGACUGGUGACCAGAAGCGAGUAAACAAGCAGUUUCCCAGGAGUGAAGGAGAUGAUAGACCAUACCACACACACACCUCUGCUGCUCAUAAACAUGGAGAGGACCUGGAGCACAGAGCCAGUGCUGCCUGCUGCACCCUGCACCUCUCUGACCAGAACCAGCAGUGCAGGAGAAACAGUGUAUGUGUGUGCUGGAUCAGGACUGGUCCGCUGCACCACCAGGUCAUAGGUCAUCCACUUCCGCUGCACUGAGAAACCACAGGCGAGACAAGAGGGACAUGGCUGUCAGUGUCAGAAGUGGGUUCAUACUGAGUAUGACUUCAGAAUUUAGAAUGAAUUUAGAAUGAACACACCCAGAAUUUAGAAUGAACAAACCCAUUAACUUUUCUAAAUGGAAUAUUAUAGAGUGGGUAGUUAAUGGAUUAUAAGGCGAUAAGAAGUUAGGGUUUAAGUCUAACACCUCGAUCACACCUACUGUGUCAUUGCAUUUUGGGCACACCAGAAGAACAUUCAUUUCCAAUGGAACACUGUGUUUGCCCUGCAGCAUUGCGUUGCAGAGGCAGCUGCAGUGCGAUCUGUGUGGUGCAUAGAUCUGUGUGGUGCAUAGAUCUGUGUGGUGCAUAGAUCUGUGUGGUGCAUAGAUCUGUGUGGUGCAUAGAUCUGUGU